AGCACUGUUUGGACGAGGGGCCCCUCUCGGGUUACCGAAUUCAGACAAACUCCGAAUGCCAAUUAAUUUAACUUGGGAGUCAGAACAUGGGUGAUAAGGUCCGUGUUCGAAAGGGAAACAGCCCAGACCACCAGCUAAGGUCCCAAAAUAUAUGUUAAGUGGAAAAGGAUGUGGCGUUGCCCAGACAACUAGGAUGUUGGCUUAGAAGCAGCCAUCAUUUAAAGAGUGCGUAAUAGCUCACUAGUCGAGUGACACUGCGCCGAAAAUGUACCGGGGCUAAACAUAUUACCGAAGCUGUGGAUUGUCCUUUGGACAAUGGUAGGAGAGCGUUCUAAGGGCGUUGAAGCAUGAUCGUAAGGACAUGUGGAGCGCUUAGAAGUGAGAAUGCCGGUGUGAGUAGCGAAAGACGGGUGAGAAUCCCGUCCACCGAUUGACUAAGGUUUCCAGAGGAAGGCUCGUCCGCUCUGGGUUAGUCGGGUCCUAAGCUGAGGCCGACAGGCGUAGGCGAUGGAUAACAGGUUGAUAUUCCUGUACCACCUAUAAUCGUUUUAAUCGAUGGGGGGACGCAGUAGGAUAGGCGAAGCGUGCGAUUGGAUUGCACGUCUAAGCAGUAAGGCUGAGUAUUAGGCAAAUCCGGUACUCGUUAAGGCUGA
rnacentral:rRNA from 1 species